UAUCUAUCCUGUUUUAAAUCACAUUAUCCCCUCAUAUAUAUACAGUAUAUAUAUAUAUAUUCCAAAUGGAAACAGAUUCAAUUCCCAAUCUUUAUGAUUAAAAUUGAAAGUGAAUUCAUUUAGCUAAUUUAACCAAUCCCAUGGUGGGAUUGAUCAUAAAAUAAUCAGUGGGAUUAAUAGGUUCAGAGUUGAAACUAAUCAGAGAAAAAUCUGAUGUGAAUUGGAAUUGAAUCUGGAUCUGAAGUGGUAAAUUAGUAUUUUAUAAUGUGGCCAUCCAGUAAACAAAUAGUGUUGUUUAACAAGAAUAUACUAAGACUAUUAUUUGCUCUUGAAACAAUUAGACAGUUACAAGCUCUGCUAAAAAAACUUUUGACUGUCUUUCAGUACUGUUUAGUUUUACAUGAAUGUUAUCAAUUGGCAUUUUCAUUGAAUUCAAAUACUUUUGUUAUAUUUUCUUUGUUUUUUGAUGAAACA
rnacentral:lncRNA from 1 species